rnacentral:rRNA from 1 species
UCCUACGGGGAGGCAGCAGUGGGGAAUAUUGCACAAUGGGCGCAAGCCUGAUGCAGCGACGCCGCGUGAGGGAUGACGGCCUUCGGGUUGUAAACCUCUUUCAGCAGGGAAGAAGCGCAAGUGACGGUACCUGCAGAAGAAGCGCCGGCUAACUACGUGCCAGCAGCCGCGGUAAUACGUAGGGCGCAAGCGUUGUCCGGAAUUAUUGGGCGUAAAGAGCUCGUAGGCGGCUUGUCACGUCGGGUGUGAAAGCCCGGGGCUUAACCCCGGGUCUGCAUUCGAUACGGGCUGGCUGGAGUGUGGUAGGGGAGAUCGGAAUUCCUGGUGUAGCGGUGAAAUGCGCAGAUAUCAGGAGGAACACCGGUGGCGAAGGCGGAUCUCUGGGCCAUUACUGACGCUGAGGAGCGAAGGUUUCCUC